ACAUAAAUCUUUUCUUAGAUAUUAAAUGACCAAUUACUGUAUUAUUUCUUUCCAAGGUUGAACUCAAUCUACGACAGGAUCAGCUUUAGUCAACCUAGAGGACAGCAGACUUUGUAGAGUCAAGAGUUAGCAUCUGAUUUGUGCUUCACCAAUCUGAAGAAUCAGAAAGCAGCAGCUUUUGAUACCACAUCAGAGGCCAUGUCUAUUAACAGUACAGCUGAGAUGAGACAAGAAUGACUGACCUGAACUUUACAGGCCGGGUCCCUUAGGAAAUGCAGAGACUAAGAAGAAAGGCAGACUGAGACUUUCCUUUGGUGGUUUUUUAGAGGUCUCCAAAGAAAUUCAAGUACUAUAGUGGAGCCCAUUACAAAGAAUUUUAGUUAAUGUUCUUCCUUUGGAUGUGGAUAGUGUUCUUUCUCAUAAGUCCCUCAGGGGGGGUGGAGUCAAGAUGGCGGCAUAGAGGCAGCAAAAGUUCAGACAUCUGAAAACCCUUCCUUAUUGAUCACAAACUGAAUGCUCUGAAG
rnacentral:lncRNA from 1 species